AGAUAAGACAGCUGAAUGAUAGCCGGGCUGAAGACUCUACUUGACUAGCUGAGAGGAGGUGCAUGGCCGUCGUCAGUUCGUACUGUGAAGCAUCCUGUUAAGUCAGGCAACGAGCGAGACCCACGCCACAGUUGCCAGCUCGUCCUCCGGGAUGGUGGGGACACUGUUGGGACCGCCUCUGCUAAAGAGGAGGAAGGAAUGGGCAACGGUAGGUCAGCAUGCCCCGAAUUAUCUGGGCUACACGCGGGCUACAAUGGGUGGGACAAUGGGUAUCGACACCGAAAGGUGAAGGCAAUCUCCUAAACCCAUCCUUAGUUCGGAUUGUGGGCUGCAACUCGCCCACAUGAAGCUGGAAUCUGUAGUAAUCGUGUUUCAAAAUAGCACGGUGAAUAUCGUCCCUGCUCCUU
rnacentral:rRNA from 1 species